GUAUACUCAGUCUGUGAAGAUAGAGUAUACGUCCUCAGAAAAUGACAAGCAUGUGGGGCGUAAGUAUAUACAGCAAGGUUAUCGUUUAUCCUCAUUUAUACAGGUUAAUUGCGCAGCUGUAAAAAACGGGAUUGAUAGAAUAGAUGGUAUAUAUGAUCGUGCGGACGUUAAAAUCAUGU
rnacentral:ribozyme from 1 species